rnacentral:pre_miRNA from 1 species
UUCAUACUCCCUCCGUCCGGAAAUACUCGUCGGAGGAAUGGAUAUAUCUAGAUGUAUUUUAGUUUUAGAUGCAUUCAUUUUUAUGCACUUCUCCGACAAGUAUUUUCGGAGAGCAAGAACAAC